CUCGAGUGGCGAACGGGUGAGUAACACGUGGGUGAUCUGCCCUGUACUUUGGGAUAAGCCUGGGAAACUGGGUCUAAUACCGAAUAUGACCACUUCUUGGAUGGGGUGGUGGAAAGCUUUUGCGGUAUGGGAUGAGCUCGCGGCCUAUCAGCUUGUUGGUGGGGUAAUGGCCUACCAAGGCGUCGACGGGUAGCCGGCCUGAGAGGGUGUACGGCCACAUUGGGACUGAGAUACGGCCCAGACUCCUACGGGAGGCAGCAGUGGGGAAUAUUGCACAAUGGGCGCAAGCCUGAUGCAGCGACGCCGCGUGGGGGAUGACGGCCUUCGGGUUGUAAACUCCUUUCGCAACCGACGAAGCUUUUGUGACGGUAGGUUGAGAAGAAGCACCGGCUAACUACGUGCCAGCAGCCGCGGUAAUACGUAGGGUGCGAGCGUUGUCCGGAAUUACUGGGCGUAAAGAGCUCGUAGGUGGUUUGUCGCGUCGUUUGUGGAAUACCGCAGCUUAACUGCGGGGUUGCAGGCGAUACGGGCAUAACUUGAGUGCUGUAAGGGAGACUGGAAUUCCUGGUGUAGCGGUGGAAUGCGCAGAUAUCA
rnacentral:rRNA from 1 species